AGAAAAGAAGACUUCCGCUAGGAAAGGCGCUAACAUUUUGAAGUUGGUAAAAGGCAGCGCAGGCAGGUAAACAAACGGCCCUUUCGGUGAAGUAAAUGUUAUAAUUAUUCUACAUUUUGCAACAUUUCAGACUUUUUAUCAGAAAAUGAACCCCACGGUUCCGUUCUUUGAUAAGCUGAAGAAGCUGGCGGUGAAUUUAGAGUCAGAAACGGUUAAACUCCAGCACGACUUUGAACACCGAAACAACGACGACAAUGAUGACGACGACAGCGAAACUACAGCCAGAGCAAUGAGAACAUAUCACCAAAUGAACUGUGAAGUCGGAAACCUAAAGGGGCAGCUCCAGGGUCAGAUUGCUGAGCUGAAAGCGCGGGAGAAUUAUGUGGACAGCUUUAUUAAGGCCAGCAGAGUGAUGCAGAAAAAAGUGACUAAGGACAUCCAGGCACUUAAGGGACACUGGGAGAAAUACGGUUACCAAGCUCCACGAGACACCCAGAGAGCGAGCAAGGCUAUCGGACAGCAGUCAAAGGCUGCAGGUGAAGAAUCAGAGGACAAUGAAGCAGGAGAAGAAGAAGGGGAAAGCCAGGAGGAGGCUGGAGGCAGUCCCUCCUCAUCGCCUCAGACGGCCAAACCGCCGGCCUUCACUGACGUUAUGCGAACACCACGGUUGUCUGACUUCGGCCUCUCUGAGAUGCAGCUGAAGAAAUCGUUAGCUGAUUGCUCUGAAGUGCCCCCCAUGCCUGAGAUGAGUCUGCCUUACCCCUCGCUCUACGAGCCUGCACCGCCACCACCAAUGCCCUUUACCCCCAAAUGUGCCCUGCGGAUGGAUGAUGAAGAUCUGCGGACGCCUCUUCCGUCUGACUUUGGCCUUACAGAGUACACCAUGUGUCUCAACAACGACUUCACUAUGGAUCUGUUCAAGAAGAACGUUGAAAAGCCCCAAAGACCAUCACAAGACCGGCCUGAACCCCCAGUUAACGCUUUAAUGGAGAGUUUGAACACACAAGCACACAACCUGGAGACCCCAGAGCCUCCUGUGUUUUCCACUCCAGGGCUCAAGCUCAUAAAGACAAACGUUCACUGCUCCUACAACGAUCCCCCAGAAUCCCCCCGUCGCCUUGGAAACCUGCCUACUACCCCAGAGGUCCCAGCAUUUCUGACUCCAUAUAUGAACCGCCUGGUCAGCUCUAACAAGAGUGCACAGCAGCCUGGGAACUCUGAGGAGGAUUCCCACUUCUUUGAAUCAUCUCGUACCGGAGCAAUCGGAUCCAAACGCCCCUGGGAAUACGACGUGCCGGAGAUAAGCAGCAUGGGUGCGGAGGACAUGGAGAUGCCAGAGAUGCCAAACCUGGAGUCUAUUUUGGGAAAUUCCCUACAGAAAAGAAGUGAAAAAAUGCUGAGGAAGACUUUCAACAUUACAAAGGACAACAAGGAGCCCACUGUCAACAGUCUGGAUCUGGAUGGCCCCACCCAGAACUUCAGCUUUGGGACCCCCCGCAUCAGGAUGGACUACGGAGAGCCCACCACCCCCGAGAUGCCCGACCUGAGCUCUGUGACUCAGGACAUCUGUAAAUCUUUGGCUUUAUCUCAUUCCUAGAUCAAUAAUGGAGAGACUUUCACAUCAAAAAUCUUUUGAUUUAGUUUCGACAAUCAAUAAGCAGUGUUUGUCAUAUAGUAAUAAUAUAUGCCAAUGCAAAUUAGCGAUGGGUCUGUGCUGAUAAAAAACAAAACAAGAAAAACAAUAACAACUAAAGUAAUCCCCUAUCACUGCCAGUGAUCCUUACACACACACACGAAUAUAUGCCAGACAUAUUGUUGGAUGAUGUACACUCAUGCAACCUACACAUUAGGGCUGAACGAUAUAUCGUGUCAUGGCGAUAACCGCAAUAUGCGCAUGCGCGAUAUUCACACCGCAGAUACGUGCGAUUUUUAUUUUUAGGACGUCCGAUAUUAAGUAGGUGAAUUAACUCAAACACGUCAUGUUACAAUUAUUUUGCUGCUUGCUACAAAAGGAAAACUUGCACGGCUCUCAUGUCAGGGGUACUUGAGUGAGUGACAUGCAGGCUCUGCAUGCACAGCAAACCACCAAUCACAAUCAUUCUUGAUCACAGCAGGCCCCGUCCCGCUAGUUUGCAGACCAUCAAAACACCGGUAAAAAAUGAGCGAGGCACAGGAGGACAAUACCGGAGAGAAUGAAGAUUUACUUCGAAAAAGAAAAGCAACAUCUGCCAUCUGGAACUAUUUUGGAUACAAAAAGGUUGAUGUUGACCAAACAAAGGUACUUUGUAGACAGUGCCAUGCAAUUGUUUCGGCAACACGUCGAAUUUACUCGCCCAUUUGAAUAGACACCACCAAUCUCUGUAUGACGAGUGCAAAGUCAGAUCUGAUUGCCAUCCACAGCCAAAGCAAAAAACUAUUUCAGAUGCCUUUGCCGGUGUUGCACCAUAUGAGAGAGGUUCAAAACGGCAUAAAGACAUCACAGAUGCCAUAACAUUUCACCUGGCAAAAGACAUGGUACCAAUUUACACCGUUACCAAAGAGGGUUUUAAGAAAAUGAUCCGGUCACUUGAUAAGCGGUACGUAAUACCGUCACGCACCUAUUUUUCUCAAGUCGCCAUCCCCGACCUGUACGAGAAAUGCAGGGCAAAAGUUGAAACAGAGCUGUCUAAAGUGGAAUACUAUGCUGUUACAACGGACUUGUGGUCCAGCCGGACAACGGAGCCGUACAUAAGCCUGACGGUGCACUUUAUUGACGAGGACUGAAAAGUCGCUGUUUGCAAGCGGCAUUUUUCCCAAAAAAUCACACAAGUGAGAACAUCGCAGCGGGGCUAAGAGAAGCGGUGGCUGCUUGGGGCCUGGAUGAGACACGUCAAGUCUGUAUAACAACAGACAAUGCUGCAAAUAUGGUGAAGGCUGCCUCCCUGAACGAGUGGACCAGGCUGCAGUGCUUUGGCCACAGACUUCAUCUUGCUGUUGAAAAUGCAGUGAAAAAGGAUGGCCGCAUCAACCGUACUGCGGGUGUGUACAAGAAGCUGGUGGGUCACUUCUCUCACAGCUGGAAGGCCAGAAGUGCUCUUGCAAAAGCCCAGAAGGAACUCAAUCUGCCAUCACAUUCCCUCAUAUCAGAAUGCCAAACAAGAUGGGGUUCCAGGCAGAGUCCUGCAUCGGGUCGGGUACCCGACGGGUGACCCGCAAAAAAGCUUGUGUCCCAGGCUCGGUUGAAGAACCCUACGAUCGCUGUUGUGCACCCAAAUAUCAGGGGGGGGAAUUAUAAAAACAGACUGUCUGUGGUGUCGGAGAGUGAGUUCCAGACUUUACCAAAGUACAUGAGGCUGAUGACUUUGCACAACCUCAACGAGGUGGUGGAGCACAUCAACACGUUCACAGCAGAGAGUGAAGGAGAACACACAGAGUUUCAG